GCUCCGGUGGCUAAAUGGUUAAAGCGUCCGACUCUGAUGCGGGAGGUCGCGGGUUCGAACCCGCCGAGCC